CCUACGGGCGGCAGCAGUGGGGAAUAUUGCACAAUGGGGGAAACCCUGAUGCAGCAACGCCGCGUGAGUGAGGAAGUAUUUCGGUAUGUAAAGCUCUAUCAGCAGGGAAUAGAAAAGAAGGUACCUGAAAAAGAAGCCCCGGCUAACUACGUGCCAGCAGCCGCGGUAAUACGUAGGGGGCAAGCGUUAUCCGGAUUUACUGGGUGUAACGGGAGCGUAGACGGUAUGGCAAGUCUGAAGUGAAAGCCCAGGGCUUAACCCUGGGACUGCUUUGGAAACUGUUAGACUAGAGUGCUGGAGAGGUAAGUGGAAUUCCUAGUGUAGCGGUGAAAUGCGUAGAUAUUAGGAGGAACACCAGUGGCGAAGGCGGCUUACUGGACAGUAACUGACGUUGAGGCUCGAAAGCGUGGGGAGCAAACAGGAUUAGAUACCCCAGUAGUC
rnacentral:rRNA from 1 species